rnacentral:rRNA from 1 species
UUGGAGGGCAAGUCUGGUGCCAGCAGCCGCGGUAAUUCCAGCUCCAAUAGCGUAUAUUAAAGUUGUUGCAGUUAAAAAGCUCGUAGUUGAAUUUCGAGACCGGUUUACUGGUCGUGCUUUUGUACGUACUGGUAUUAUUGGUUUCUCCUUUCUGACGAACUAUAAUGCCAUUAAUUUGGUGUUAUAGGGAAUCAGGACUGUUACUUUGAAAAAAUUAGAGUGUUUAAAGCAGGCUCACGCUUGAAUACAUUAGCAUGGAAUAACGGAAUAGGACGUUUGAUUCUAUUUUGUUGGUUUCUAGGAUCGACGUAGUGAUUAAUAGGGAUAGUUGGGGGCAUUAGUAUUCAAUUGUCAGAGGUGAAAUUCUUGGAUUUAUUGAAGACUAACUACUGCGAAAGCAUUUGCCAAGGAUGUUUUCAUUAAUCAAGAACGAAAGUUAGGGGAUCGAAGACGAUCAGAUACCGUCGUAGUCUUAACCAUAAACUAUGCCGACUAGGGAUCGGAUGAUGUUAAUUUUUUAAUGACUCAUUCGGCGCCUUACGGGAAAC